UAGGGAAUCUUCCACAAUGGGCGCAAGCCUAAUGGAGCAACGCCGCGUGAGUGAAGAAGGUCUUCGGAUCGUAAAACUCUGUUGUUAGAGAAGAACAUGCGAGAGAGUAACUGUUCAAUGUGUGACGGUAUCUUACCAGAAAGGAACGGCUAAAUACGUGCCGG
rnacentral:rRNA from 1 species